rnacentral:rRNA from 1 species
ACGAACGCUGGCGGCGUGCUUCACCCAUGCAAGUCGCACGGAAAGGCCCUGCUUUUGUGGGGUGCUCGAGUGGCGAACGGGUGAGUAACACGUGAGUAACCUGCCCUUGACUUUGGGAUAACUUCAGGAAACUGGGGCUAAUACCGGAUAGGAGCUCCUGCUGCAUGGGGGGGGUUGGAAAGUUUCGGCGGUUGGGGAUGGACUCGCGGCUUAUCAGCUUGUUGGUGGGGUAGUGGCUUACCAAGGCUUUGACGGGUAGCCGGCCUGAGAGGGUGACCGGCCACAUUGGGACUGAGAUACGGCCCAGACUCCUACGGGAGGCAGCAGUGGGGAAUAUUGCACAAUGGGCGGAAGCCUGAUGCAGCAACGCCGCGUGCGGGAUGACGGCCUUCGGGUUGUAAACCGCUUUCGCCUGUGACGAAGCGUGAGUGACGGUAAUGGGUAAAGAAGCACCGGCUAACUACGU